UAUCAAUCUUUAUUUUUUUUGUAAUAAUAUAAUGUACAAAGGGUUUGAUAAAUUUUUCACCAAAUUUGAAAGUCAUGCUUGAGACAGCCUGAGUUAAAUAAAGACUACCCACUAUGGUCCUCCACUCUACCAGCUGAGCUAUCGAAGGCGGGGAUGUUAAUUUGGCAGAGAGUGACUUGGCGUAUGCCCAGGCCAUCUUGGGCAGUGGCAAAGAAGAUUACACUGGCAAAGACGUACUGAUUCUGGGAGGUUGAGAUGGGGGCAUAUUAUGUGAAAUAGUCAAAUUGAAACCAAAGAUGGUCACUAUGGUAGAGUGCUAUUUCAGAAUUCUCUGAUACACCCAAAUUAUCCUUAACCUGUUUCGGACAUUGACCAAAUGGUGAUUGAUGGAUGUAAGAAAUAUAUGCGAAAAACGUGCGGUGAUGUCUUAGACAAUCUUAAAGGAGACUGCUAUCAGGUUCUCAUAGAAGACUGUAUUCCAGUACUGAAGAGGUACGCCAAAGAAGGGAGAGAGUUUGAUUAUGUGAUUAAUGAUUUGACGGCUGUUCCAAUCUCCACGUCUCCAGAAGAAGAUUCCACAUGGGAGUUUCUCAGACUGAUUCUUGACCUCUCUAUGAAAGUAUUGAAGCAGGAUGGGAAAUAUUUCACACAGGGGAACUGUGUCAAUCUGACAGAAGCCCUGUCGCUCUAUGAAGAACAGCUCGGGCGCCUGUAUUGUCCUGUGGAAUUCUCGAAGGAGAUCGUUUGUGUCCCUUCAUACUGGAACUGUGGGUAUUUUACACAGUGUGGAAGAAAGCUGAGCCUUGAAGAUGAAUAUCCCCAAUCAUGUGCUGCAGAUAACCUUCCUGACCUCCAUUUGCUGUACAUGACAUUGAAAUGAGUCAGGCAAUUGAUUGUGAAUUCCUUAACGUUUUCUCUAAUAAUUAUUUUUAAUUUAAAAAAGCAAAUGGGAAAUGUAUAUUUUGAUGAGCUAGGGUGUUAUUUUUGUUGAAAGUCGGCUGAAGGACAGUUAAGACAACACAGCGAAGACUGCUAAAUGCACUGACCCCCUAGAAUGUGACUUUUGUUUUUAUUUCUGUGUGGGCUUUUUUUUUUUUUUUUUUUUUUGGUAGACCUUCAAUUUGGAUGUUUGGAGGAAUGAACAUCAUUGUUUUGUUCUGGAGGGAAGUUCUUGAUGGUGUUUCUUUCUCCCAAAUUGACUUAGAUAUUAAAAUUUGGUGCUUAUAAGAGUUAAAGAAAUGAAUAGUAAUGCUUCAAUUAAAAUCACAAAAGAGACAAAAAAAAAAAA